rnacentral:rRNA from 1 species
UACGGGGGGAGCAAGCGUUGUUCGGAUUUAUUGGGCGUAAAGAGCGCGUAGGCGGCCUGGUAGGUCUGCUGUGAAAACUCGAGGCUCAACCUCGAGACGUCGGCGGAAACCAUCUGGCUAGAGUCCGGAAGAGGAGAGUGGAAUUCCUGGUGUAGCGGUGAAAUGCGCAGAUAUCAGGAAGAACACCCGUGGCGAAGGCGGCUCUCUGGGACGGUACUGACGCUGAGACGCGAAAGCGUGGGGAGCGAACAGG